rnacentral:rRNA from 1 species
CAGCUUGCUGGGUGGAUCAGUGGCGAACGGGUGAGUAACACGUGAGCAACCUGCCCCUGACUCUGGGAUAAGCGCUGGAAACGGCGUCUAAUACUGGAUACGAGACGUGAUCGCAUGGUCAACGUUUGGAAAGAUUUUUCGGUUGGGGAUGGGCUCGCGGCCUAUCAGCUUGUUGGUGAGGUAAUGGCUCACCAAGGCGUCGACGGGUAGCCGGCCUGAGAGGGUGACCGGCCACACUGGGACUGAGACACGGCCCAGACUCCUACGGGAGGCAGCAGUGGGGAAUAUUGCACAAUGGGCGCAAGCCUGAUGCAGCAACGCCGCGUGAGGGAUGACGGCCUUCGGGUUGUAAACCUCUUUUAGCAGGGAAGAAGCGAGAGUGACGGUACCUGCAGAAAAAGCACCGGCUAACUACGUGCCAGCAGCCGCGGUAAUACGUAGGGUGCAAGCGUUAUCCGGAAUUAUUGGGCGUAAAGAGCUCGUAGGCGGUUUGUCGCGUCUGCUGUGAAAUCUGGGGGCUCAACCCCCAGCCUGCAGUGGGUACGGGCAGACUAGAGUGCGGUAGGGGAGAUUGGAAUUCCUGGUGUAGCGGUGGAAUG